rnacentral:rRNA from 1 species
UUUAUGGAGAGUUUGAUCCUGGCUCAGGAUGAACGCUGGCGGCGUGCCUAAUACAUGCAAGUCGAGCGAACAGACGAGGAGCUUGCUCCUUUGACGUUAGCGGCGGACGGGUGAGUAACACGUGGGUAACCUACCUAUAAGACUGGGAUAACUUCGGGAAACCGGAGCUAAUACCGGAUAAUAUUUCGAACCGCAUGGUUCGAUAGUGAAAGAUGGCUCUGCUAUCACUUAUAGAUGGACCUGCGCCGUAUUAGCUAGUUGGUAAGGUAACGGCUUACCAAGGCAACGAUACGUAG